rnacentral:rRNA from 1 species
UACAGAGGUCUCAAGCGUUGUUCGGAUUCAUUGGGCGUAAAGGGUGUGUAGGUGGCGCGCUAAGUCGGGUGUGAAAUUUCGGAGCUUAACUCCGAAACUGCAUUCGAUACUGGCGUGCUUGAGGACCGGAGAGGAUAGUGGAAUUCCCAGUGUAGUGGUGAAAUACGUAGAGAUUGGGAAGAACACCAGUGGCGAAGGCGGCUAUCUGGACGGUUUCUGACGCUAAGACGCGAAAGCGUGGGGAGCAAACAGG